CAGUAGCCGCGGUAAUACGUAGGGUGCGAGCGUUGUCCGGAAUUAUUGGGCGUAAAGAGCUUGUAGGCGGUUUGUCGCGUCUGCUGUGAAAUCCCGAGGCUCAACCUCGGGCGUGCAGUGGGUACGGGCAGACUAGAGUGCGGUAGGGGAGAAUGGAACUCCUGGUGUAGCGGUGGAAUGCGCAGAUAUCAGGAAGAACACCGAUGGCGAAGGCAGUUCUCUGGGCCGUAACUGACGCUGAGAAGCGAAAGCGUGGGGAGCGAACAGGAUUAGAGACCCCCGUAGUCCCUGUCUCUUAUAA
rnacentral:rRNA from 1 species